GACGAACGCUGGCGGCGUGCCUAAUACAUGCAAGUAGAACGCAGUUGCGAACGGGUGAGUAACGCGUAGGUAACUGCCUGGUAGCGGGGGAUAACUAUUGGAAACGAUAGCUAAUACCGCAUACUACCAGAUGGACCUGCGUUGUAUUAGCUAGUUGGUGAGGUAACGGGUCACCAAGGCAACGAUACAUAGCCGACCUGAGAAGGUGAUCGACCACACUGGGACUGAGACACGGCCCAGACUCCUACGGGAGUCAGCAGGAGGGGAUCUUCGGAAAUGGGGGGAACCCUUAACGAGCAAAGGCGGCGGAGUGAAGAAGGUUUUCGGAUCGUUAAGCUCUGUUGUUAAGGAAGCGGUACUUAACCAGAAAGGGACGGCUAACUACGUGCCAGCCGCCGCGGUAAUUC
rnacentral:rRNA from 1 species